GUCAGGGGUAAAUUUGUAUAUAAUCAUAAUUACCCUCACAGGUGACUGAAAGACCCCUGGAGCGGGGAGACCCUCACUCAAGUCUCGGGAUGAUGCGACCCCCCAAGAACUCACGUGAGACU
rnacentral:pre_miRNA from 14 species